AAAUAAUACAACAUCAGAACAGUGUGUUAUAGACAGGAAGAUAAUGAGGGUAGUAGAAGAAAGAUCAUAUGGUCACUCAGGGAGGUGUAUGUUUCUCUUGGGAUUUUGACAGCUUAUUUUAACUUUCCUCAUUUCCACAGACAGCAUGAGAAGCAAACAUUGACAAGGAAAGUAGCUUGACAGAUGGUCUUGGACAGCGCKCUCUGUGCACAAGGGGCAGUGUGGAAGGUGACACUGAGGCAUCUGUGUGUCUUUGAAGAAGGAGGCAGGAGAUAUGGACAGAUUGGAACACACAUGGCCAGUAUGAUGAAAAAAUGGUCCAGGAUCACAAGGAUUCCGUUGGACUUGAAGGGAAGGCAAAGCUCUGAGUUUGGCCUGCAGUCAGCCUCGCCUAAUCUUUGGGAAAGACAGGCGAAGGAGAUAGCCAUGUAGAGGGGCACUGAUGCUGAGGACUCCCAGGCCCA
rnacentral:lncRNA from 1 species